rnacentral:rRNA from 1 species
AGUGAACGCUGGCGGUAGGCCUAACACAUGCAAGUCGAGCGGCAGCACAGUAAGAGCUUGCCCUUACGGGUGGCGAGUGGCGGACGGGUGAGGAAUACAUCGGAAUCUACUUUUUCGUGGGGGAUAACGUAGGGAAACUUACGCUAAUACCGCAUACGACCUACGGGUGAAAGCAGGGGAUCUUCGGACCUUGCGCGAUUGAAUGAGCCGAUGUCGGAUUAGCUAGUUGGCGGGGUAAAGGCCCACCAAGGCGACGAUCCGUAGCUGGUCUGAGAGGAUGAUCAGCCACACUGGAACUGAGACACGGUCCAGACUCCUACGGGAGGCAGCAGUGGGGAAUAUUGGACAAUGGGCUCAAGCCUGAUCCAGCCAUACCGCGUGGGUGAAGAAGGCCUUCGGGUUGUAAAGCCCUUUUGUUGGGAAAGAAAAGCAGCAGGUUAAUACCCCGCUGUUCUGACGGUACCCAAAGAAUAAGCACCGGCUAACUUCGUG